rnacentral:lncRNA from 1 species
GUUGUUUAUGGCACUUGGCACAAAUGCAGCACAUUUGUCAUGUCAGUAGAUGGUCACUUGCCAAAAGUUGCCCACGGCCUGUUAUCUGCAUAUGUGUCAAUAAUAUAUUUAUCCUGGUUGUCUACAGGUAAAUGAAGUCCAUCGAGUUUUCAGGGAGUGUCCACUGGUUUGUAUGCUAUGAAAAGACUGAAAGAGACUGAUGCAGUGAAAGGAGCUCUUAGGUGUCCGUAUGCACCAUGCAAGGACAUGUUAUUUCCAGUCACUGCAGUCCUGAUCUCCACUCCAGCCCUGGACAAGCAAGGCAAGGUCAGCAAGGAAGGGCCCCUGUGCUAUCUGGAGACCACCGAGAUACUGGACUGUGUUCUGGACAGAUUUCACAGUGAGCAGUUGAGACAGGUCAGUGUAAACACCUGCACUGUAUCUGAGCUGCUAACUUCUGAAGAGGAAUUUUUCCUAAUUGGUCUGUGUAAAGAAAACUAAUGUAAG